GUGGGAAGCAACUACACGACUUUAAACCGUUUUAAGAGGCAUGAUGGAUUGGAGAUUUGGCGGAUGAAUCAUUCAGUGUGGAAGUAGACGAACAGGCAUGAUGAGGUUGUGCACAAAAGCUGGUUGGAAUGAUGAGGGUGUGACUUCAGUCACAGGAGUGAUGGAGAGGCAUAACACCAUCUGAGAGAUGUGAACAGAUUUUGUGAACAAUUUGGCAUGAGGAGAGAAAGGAACCUGAAGUUUUUAGCAAGGAAGGGCCCUGAUGAUGGUUGCCUUCAACAUUGCCUCAAUACUCAACAUCCAAGACAGCCCUGGCUUAGCAACUGGAAUCACGGAUGGGGAAAAUUUUUUCUCAAGCACAUGUGAAAUUUGGCUGUCAGACCACCUUCAUCUGCACAGAAAGCUAAAUGUAUUGCCUAGUUUUGCAACUUCAUAUGACUGUUCGCCAAACUGGAAUAAUUGUUGCAUUUGUGUGUGACUUCUCAGUAUUCCUAUGGCAUUACCACCAUAGCACCCCUAUGUCAAAUGGUGAAAGAAUUAGGUGAGGUUUUGUGAACGUUUAGAGUAACUUUGUUUUUUUGCAUCAACAUUCAAGAAGCACUCCUUCCCUUCCACUGCAGUAGAACCUUGAGGUCCCUCUCAGAUUUCUGUGGGGUGUCUGUGGUCUGCUGGAGCAUGGCCAGGUCUGGGCAGCUGUCACUUUCCUUCUGCUUCCCAGUACAGAGGCCUAUCUGGUGCUCAGAAAAGCUUCCUAAGUAAGAAUGCAGGUGUCUCACAUUAAGAAGGGAACCUUCUGUCCAUCUCCAGCUUAAGUAUCAACGUAUCCAGCAGCCUCAAGUCUAUCCAAACCUUAUUCAUUUUUCCCCACUUUGUUUUCAUAAUUUGACCACAGAACUGAGCGUCAAGUAUAUAUGAACCCAAGUUGUUUGUUCUCUUGUAGUUUGUUUUAGUGUUGUUCUUUCAGAUUAUAAUCUCAGGGCAGGAGUUCUGUCAAAAUUCUCACUUGAUCUUAAAAAGCCAAUUACAGGGCAAGAUGAAAAGUGGCUUCUUAGUAAACAUUUGCUAGCUUGAUACCUGACUCCACUCCUGCCUAUUAAAAGCAUUUCGCUUGAAAGUAUGCAAUGGUUAGAAGCAUCUAGAAAGUCGAGGUCUGAUGAUUUCACACACAUAUUUUGGGGUGCUAAAUUAAAGCUCUCCUUUGUAAAACAGUGCAUGAUGUCUUGGUGCUCUCAGGAUUGAAUGGUGAACAUACUGGCAGAGGCAAUUUCAGAUCCAAGUGAAAGACAGUUUUCACCUGGUGGUAAGGGUAGAUGUGUACUGAAACAACAAUCUAGGGCCGUCUUCUUUGUACCACAAGCUUAAUAAUUUGUAUGGCUAUGCUGUCUUCUUAGCUGCUUGCUGGUGGUGAAAAUCAGUUAUUUUCACUGGCUGAUUGACAGUUGGCCAGCACUGACCCUUCUGAAGACCUGUAUUUAUUUCUUGGAGGGGGUACCCUUGGUUUUAUUUUAUUCCUUUUGCGCCCUCACCCUACUUCAUGCCUUGCUGGGAAUAGGAACAGUGGUGCAGACUUAAGAGAAGAGGCCAAGGAAGAGCAAGUGAAAUCUGCUGGUCACCGUAGAUUUAAGCCCUUAGGAGACAGGGUUGUGUUUCUCCUCCUGGCAGAGUUGCAAUGAGACAAUGUCUAUCAAAUACAAGAAGAGUGGCUGAGUUCAAGGAGGGGUAGAAAUCUGUCAAUGAAAAAUUCUAUAUCACAUUGAAGUUUGGUCAUAGAAGGUAGCUUCUGGUGUUCUGCCCCCUAACCAUGGCAUGCCAUGAUUUAGUCCGUAAUGGACACAGCUUAGUGGAGUUUGUUUCAUCUCCAAACUUCACUCAUUGUUUAAAGAUACUGGCUAGGUGUCAGCACAGCCUGGGCCAGGGAGAGACGAUGGCCCAUUAGUCAUCAUCUGUCAUGCCUAUGGACUGUAGGGACCAGAGCAUUUACACUCAGAAUCACAGAGAUAAUUAGCACAUUGAUGUCAUUGUUCCUAACCACUGAGGCCAUUGAUCCUGUCCCCAGCCUGACUUGAAGGUCUUUGGGAGUUCAGCCAGCCUCCCAACCUGCCUACCACUUUGUUCUAAGAAUCCUACUCAACAGUGGCUUGCAUUUUCUGCUUCUAAGUGGCUUUGCGAUUAUGUAGAAAUUCAUGACGUGAUUUUGUCCUGAUUGAAUAAAGUGCAUCACUUGGUAUAAGGCCUGUGUCUGCCUAUUCCAUUUGAGCUGUAUAUUUUUCAAUGAAGUGGGAUUGUGGUCUCAAUUCAAAUUUUUUUUUUCUAUUGCUUCUACUGCACCAUGAUGGAGCUAAAGAGAAAUGCCUCAUUCAUGAUUAUCAGCUAUGCAAAGAAUGUUCCUUGUGAUGUCUAUGCUAAGCUAGGUUUAGAAGGAAAGAGUAAAAUUUUCCUCAUGGUCUCUCCUUCCUCAGCACUUGCAUGCUUGGCUGUUGGCUGCAUUUCUUGCAGUGUGUGAGGCUGGCACAUCUGGAAAAAUCCUCACUGCCUUCUUAACAACACACCUUUUUGAGGCGCGACAUUAUCAUUCCUCCUUACAGGUGAAUAAACUGAAAUUUAGAUUCAGAGAGGUUGCACAACAUACUCAAAGCACCAGACACAGAAGAAAUGUAAAUUUCCCAAGGACCUAAAAACUGUAAAUGUUGGAGCCAGGACUGAACACAGGCCUCUGGGCUCUACAGUCAUAGCCCUUAAUACAGAAGCCUGUCUAAAUGCUUUGCAAAAUUAAUGAAAAGAUGGUCCAUACCAUGUCUUAGAUGACUUUGCAAUAUAUUUGAAGAGCUAGGAUAUAUAGACCUUAGACAUAAAAAAG
rnacentral:lncRNA from 1 species